CGCCCCUCCUUAUUAAUAUUAUAAAUAAAUACAGUAGUCUUUAUGCAAUAAUGUUUACGUGCAUCUGCUUUGUGCACAAUAGCAACAUGCAUCCAGCUCUGAGAAAACAGGGGUGUGCACAAAUAGCUCAGGCGUGUGGCCAGACGGACCUGCUGUGGCUCCUGCUAGCUGUGUGACCCUGAAACGGUGACAGAACGUCUCUGGGCCUCAGCUUCCUACCUCUGACAGGACAUCACGGGAAGGCAAACAGGGACGGGGUAGUCCCUGGCACCUGCAGCCUCUGUAAAGCCCGCUGCAUUUGAAUGCAGAGAGCAAGCCAGUCCAGGAAGAGGAAAGAGGUCAUACGCACAUCAGGGGCAAAAUCCAUCAGGACCGAAGAAUACACAGGACGAUUUCCUCUUUCCCACCUCUGACCCCAGCCGCCGAGCCCCGUCCUCAGCAGGAAAUGGACGUUGUUUCCACUUCUCGGUGCCCGAAGCAUAUUGCGUUGCAUGGAUGGGCCCUCGUGGAUGCUACUAUAUCCCUGGCCGGUCUUCGGCCACGAUAAGUGAUGCCACAUGGACGUCAUGUGCACAAAGGCAAGUCUGUCUGAGACAGGGUCUCCUUUCGGGGUCGAAUGGCGUGUGCAGUUUAAAACUGUGAUCGUCCCUAUAGCUGUCACCAGAGCACAUUCACGUCAGUAACGUGCGAGGGAAGGUGAGACCCUCAACUCGCCGCCCAGGAGACUCAGACACACCCAUGCCUGAGAGCCAGGACCCCUGAGCCAAGUGCUACUCUCUGGCGUCCGAAUUCCCGGAGCGGCCUCCUCCUGAAGGCGGCCCCUGCAGCCACGGAAGGAGGAGGGGUCAAGGAGCAGCACGGUCCAGCUAGCUGUACCCUGUCACAUACGAUCAACCAAGAGGAACCUCUCUGCCGGCUGCUGCCUUUCCCGGGACCGGGGCUUGGCUGCGGGAGUGACGUGGGUGCCCGGGGAUUUGCUGCCGGUCAGGACAUCCCUCCCUCCAAGGUGAGCGUCCGGGACUAGACGCCCCGGGAGGGCCUGGCCGGGGCUGGCGACCGAGCCACCUUCGGAGCUGCCCGAGCAACAUCGGUGGUUUAUAGCAGCUCUACCUGGUGGGGACGGAAAGGAACUAACUUCUCCAGGGUCACAGCUGACGUGUCCUCGGGAAGUGGCCACAACACUUUUAUCCUAGUAAGAAGUAUGUUUCCUAUUUACAGAUGAAAUGCUACAAGAUCUGAAAUUGGUCUCAAGGCAACCCGAAGGGACCGAUGGCGUGGGCGGGUGUGUGGGCAACACGAGGUCGGCCCUGACCCGAUGACCACUGGGUCUGUGCGAUGGGUACACGGAUUCAUCACAGGCUCAUCUCCACUUUGGAGUACCUUCCAAACUUCCCGUCAUUAGAGGUUUCCAUAAUGGUUCUGCCUAAAACGCGGAGAUGGUUACACAGACCCCGAUCCGUUUGCCUGUUUUAAAAACGUGUUGCAGGGGCAGCUGAGGAUGUAAAGGGCCUCGUGCACCUGAACUAGAAGCUCUUUGCAGGUGCUGGCCCCCACCCCCAGACGGGAGAACACGCCCCCCCGGUUCAUCUCCCAAAGACGAAAACCCAUCGCAGACUCUCCUGACGGCAUCCGGGGCCCUCGAGUUGGCUAAAAAAUAUUUCAAGGUCUCUGAGUAAUUUAAUGCCCCAUGAAAGUAAAAUAAAUUGUGUACAAAUAAUUCAAUAAGCUCGGGGAAGUGGGGAAAAAAAAAAAACAUUAAGCAUGUCACAGAUGGUACCCCUAGGCAGUUUAUCAAAGCGAGUUUCAUAAUUUAACAAAACCAUCUUGGCAUCAGACACAAAAGUCCUCCUGUUUGAUCCCUUAAUAACACUGCUUAGCACUUUCUGGGGAACUGGCUUCUAGCAGUGGAGCUGUUUCCAAGCAUUAGCUAAUCAAUCAUCAAAAGAUAUUUUCCACGCAGGCAGGCAGGACUCCAUUCACAGCUCACUUGACCCCCACGGAAGGGGCCUCGGAAGCUAAGAGGCUUUCUCAAGGUCACGCGGGGGGCAAAGGUCACAGCGGGGGUUGCAGCUAAUGAGUUUCUGGUUUCUCCUGUGCUCCUGAGGACGCCCGGGCCCCCUGGUCCCCUCCAGAGUCACCGCGGGGCCCCGCCCGUCUGGCCGGAAUGCCAGCGGCAGCUCCCCUCCCGGCCUUCAUCGGGGACACGAUCAGGGACACGGCCGCUCAUCAAAAUAGACCAGUGGAGUCAUCGUCACCUCGCCUGCCCCUGGAUCUGGAAGUGGGCUGCGGGUACGUUCUCUGCUGUAGGACAGAAAGCCUCGCUCGGGGCUGAAUAUCACCGGAACUGUACCCCCGUCCGCCUGAUUUUUGCUCAGCAUCUCACAUUUGUUUAGGGAACGAAAUAGUUUUAAAUUUCAGAAAUCAUCCGUGCACAGGUUGAAGACGCAAACGCCACAGAAGAGCUUAAAGGUAAAAGAAAAAUGCCAAAUACAGCACGCGGCUCUUCCCCUCCGGGAGGGUCUUCCCAGGCCCCCUCCCUACACUCGAGGUGGGGAUGCGGUACGGAGGUCACUUCUAAGGACAGAGGAGGAAAGGGACCAGCAGGGCCUUGAAGCCAAGGCACCUUCAGGGACCGCCUUGGCCUGGUGAUCGCGGUGACCAGGUGGGCGUUGGGGACCCUUGAAGGACACAAAGGGAAGCCGCGGCUGCGGCAUGCUCUCCCCCAAGCCCGGUCGGAUCUCGAGAAAAGCCAUCAGACAGACCCCAACUGCGGGACACUUCCCAGCAUCCCUGACCAGCACCGUUCAACACCGUCAGCAGAGGUCCCGGAAAAUGGAAAGUGGAGAGGCCCACAGACCGGAGACGCCCAAGGACACAGACGUGACGCCGUGUGCUUGCGGGGACAGAUGGGGCGUUGGCGGAAGGCUGGUGGCUUCUGGAGAGAGCCUGGGGCGGAGAUCAUGGUGACGCUCCAUCGUGCUGUGACAAGUGUCCCGUGGUGAUGGCGGGUGGCCGAUUUGGGGAGGUUGAAAUGGGUGAGGGACACAGGGAACAUCUUUGAAAACAAUGAAUGCACUUUGGUUUUUGGAGCCGUUUUCCGUUCGUAGCUUCUCUGCACGGCCUUGUCAGGUUUACCGUAAAUCAAAAUUUCUCCAUAAAAAGGUUAGUCAAAACAAAAUUAAGGGUAAAAAUCCUCCGCCACCCUCCCUGGAACAUUCUAGAAUAUUCUUCCAGAAUUCUGUGGCACAUAAACGGGUCUUUUUUUUUUUUUUUAAACCAAGGCUGACCCCUACCAUACCUGCUUUUGGCUUCUUGCCUUCUUCAUUUACUCUGUAUCUGGGAGGUGUUUUUCUAGAGCAACUUGUCUGGUCCUCCUUGUUUUUAACUGUCUGCAGGCCAUGUACUUCAGCAUGUUCCUGUCCUUUAUUUCUCUGGGUCCCGGCAGGUGCACCAGCUGGUUUGGUGAUUCUGCCUCUUGUAACAACAUUACCAGCGUGCCCAGGAAGAAGUCAAUAAACACAAGAAAGAAAAGCCUCAGCUUUACUCAUAAUCUGAAAACCAAAGUGCAGAUGAGAUCAGCAUAUCACUUUUGGUCUGUUGGACAAGCUCUAGGCCCCGGGGGGGCAGGGGGUGGGUACGGGAGGCAAACUUAUUUGCGCCAGGGGGUGUGACUGUGGUGAGUCCUAGCGUGCGGCCGGUAGGAACGCAGUUCGCGGCGGGGUGAGCAGUGACUCGGGGACCCUUGAAGAAACAGGCAGUGGCCCCCUCCAUGCAGAGGCUCCCCCCACCCCCCAAUUAAGACCAACCUUUAUUUGGGCUGCUCUUUGAUAAAGCAAAGCCUCCUCUGGUGUUCCCCAUAUUUUUUUUUUUCUGGCUUCUGUGUGUCACACAAGCCUUUUACAUUAUUAAUAAAAGUUUUGAAUUGA